rfam:Erinaceus europaeus unplaced genomic scaffold scaffold00283, whole genome shotgun sequence
GGAUGUGAGGGUGAUCUGGCUGCAAUAUCUGUCAUGUGUUGAUCAUCAGGCUUGCUGAAACUUAUAUGGCUGGCUAGAAAAGUGUCCCCUUCCUCUCUCACCAUUUAUUGUGUGUCCCUCCUGAAGCUGUGUGCUGGACAAAGAGGAUGACUUUCCCUGAAUAGAGACAAACUGGUUUGUGGUCAUGGGUAUACAAAUAUCUCAUUCCCUUGCUCAAACCUCCAAACAAGCUUUCAAGAAACAGAAAUUUUUAAAAGGCUGCAUUACAACUAAUGCUGCAGAAACAGUGUAUUAAAAGCAAAUAAUA